rnacentral:rRNA from 1 species
GACGAACGCUGGCGGCGUGCCUAAUACAUGCAAGUUGAGCGCUGAAGGUUGGUACUUGUACCCACUGGAUGAGCAGCGAACGGGUGAGUAACGCGUGGGGAAUCUGCCUUUGAGCGGGGGACAACAUUUGGAAACGAAUGCUAAUACCGCAUAAAAACUUUAAACACAAGUUUUAAGUUUGAAAGAUGCAAUUGCAUCACUCAAAGAUGAUCCCGCGUUGUAUUAGCUAGUUGGUGAGGUAAAGGCUCACCAAGGCGAUGAUACAUAGCCGACCUGAGAGGGUGAUCGGCCACAUUGGGACUGAGACACGGCCCAAACUCCUACGGGAGGCAGCAGUAGGGAAUCUUCGGCAAUGGACGAAAGUCUGACCGAGCAACGCCGCGUGAGUGAAGAAGGUUGUCGGAUCGUAAAACUCGGUUGGUAGAGAAGAACGUUGGUGAGAGUGGAAAGCUCAUCAAGUGACGGUAACUACCCAGAAAGGGACGGCUAACUACGUG